UAACAGGCUGAUACCGCCCAAGAGUUCAUAUCGACGGCGGUGUUUGGCACCUCGAUGUCGGCUCAUCACAUCCUGGGGCUGAAGUAGGUCCCAAGGGUAUGGCUGUUCGCCAUUUAAAGUGGUACGCGAGCUGGGUUUAGAACGUCGUGAGACAGUUCGGUCCCUAUCUGCCGUGGGCGCUGGAGAACUGAGGGGGGUCUGCUCCUAGUACGAGAGGACCGGAGUGGACGCAUCACUGGUGUUCGGGUUGUCAUGCCAAUGGCACUGCCCGGUAGCUAAAUGCGGAAGAGAUAAGUGCUGAAAGCAUCUAAGCACGAAACUUGCCCCGAGAUGAGUUCUCCCUGAGACUUUAGGUCUCCUGAAGGAACGUUGAAGACGACGACGUUGAUAGGCCGGGUGUGUAAGCGCAGCGAUGCGUUGAGCUAACCGGUACUAAUGAACCGUGAGGCUUAACCUUACAACGCCGAAG
rnacentral:rRNA from 1 species